UCCCCGUUAUCCUGGGCAGUCUCUCCAGAGUUCCCGGCAUGACCCGUUGGCAACUGGAGACAAGGGUUGCGCUCGUUGCGGGACUUAACCCAACAUCUCACGACACGAGCUGACGACAGCCAUGCAGCACCUGUGUUGCCGUUCCCUUUCGGGCACAGCCCCCUCUCAGGGGCCUUCGGCACAUGUCAAGGGUAGGUAAGGUUGUUCGCGUUGCAUCGAAUUAAUCCACAUAAUCCACCGCUUGUGCGGGUCCCCGUCAAUUCCUUUGAGUUUUAACCUUGCGGCCGUACUCCCCAGGCGGUCAACUUCACGCGUUAGCUUCGUUACCAAGGAAUUGCUUCCCCGACAACCAGUUGACAUAGUUUAGGGCGUGGACUAC
rnacentral:misc_RNA from 1 species